AAUAAAUAAGUAUUAACUUAAGCUUUUACCUAAUAAGCUCUUUGAAUAGCCUAUGAUGAAAAUGAUGCAUGUUUUUGUCAACUCUUAGUGUGUAUAUUGCAUGUGACUAGUUGUUAAUUUCUUUAUUUUCAUAUUUUAA